rnacentral:rRNA from 1 species
GAUGAACGCUGGCGGCGUGCCUAACACAUGCAAGUCGAGCGAAGCGGGGACGGGUGAGUAACACGUGGAUAACCUCCUAUAAGACGGGGAUAACCUCGUGAAACCGGUGCUAAUCCGGAUACUGAUCGCAGGAUCCGGGGUGCAGUAGCUAGUUGGUAAGGUAACGGCUUACCAAGGCAACGAUGCAUAGCCGACCUGAGAGGGUGAUCGGCCACACUGGAACUGAGACACGGUCCAGACUCCUACGGGAGGCAGCAGUAGGGAAUCUUCCGCAAUGGGCGAAAGCCUGACGGAGCAACGCCGCGUGAGUGAUGAAGGUCUUCGGAUCGUAAAGCUCUGUUAUUAGGGAAGCGGUACCUGAUCAGAAAGCCACGGCUAACUACGUGCCAGCAGCCGCGGUAAUAC